GAAGCUUUCGUUUAAUUCUUUGUCUUUUUUGGUGCUAUCAAGAUGUAGAGGAGAAUUCCAGAAAAUGGUUUCUUCUGGAACGGACAUACCCAAAGCAACGACUACAUAUUGGGGAUGGUGGUUGAUCGGAAUCGGCUUGGUUUCUUUUGUGGGAUUUCUCUUUGCAGCAGUUAUAUCUAAGCUUCUUCCUUCAUCCGACAAUCCUAUCAUCUCAGCCAUUCAAAAUGACAGCUAUUACUGCGUACUGGUACCCUUGACUGUUCCUAUACUUGUUGUUGCUGUAUACUUCCAUUGGCUUAGCAUGAAGCUUUUUAAGCAUGCAUGAUACUCGUAGCACAACCUUGAAGCAGUGGAACAACUGAAGGAGAAGGCAAGAAUAAGAGGACGGUUGCCUGGUAUUUUUUAACCACUUGGGUAAAGUGCAAACAUUGUGAAUAGAAAUCUUAUAUCAAUUAGUCGAGUAGCUCUGAAGUUUGUUAUUUCUUUGAUGUUGUGCUACCUUCCCUUAUGAGUAUAUGAGCUGCAUCUUGACUAUUGAUUUCAAUGAGAAAGUUCACAUUGCUUAAAA
rnacentral:misc_RNA from 1 species